AAUUUUUCAUAGCUCUUUUGGAAUUUUUUCUAGCAGGAUUUCACACCUUGGUCAGAAAUCCCAA
rnacentral:snRNA from 1 species